rnacentral:tRNA from 1 species
UCAACUGUAGUGGGUGACGAAAAGCUAACAUCUAGAGAGGACAGCGCAUGACUGUUAAUCAUGAUGUCGUAGGUUCGAGUCCUACUGGCGGAG